UCUUUUGAAAAAUAAAUGACAUAUAGGCGCUACAGACAGGCUCAGUUUCCUGGAAAGAACACUGUGCGCUACGUGGCUCUCGAUAGGCAGGUGAGGGAGGGGAAACUGAAGCCUAAAGCCUGAGAAAGUGAGCAGGGUAGUGAGGGAGGGGACCUCCCAGCAGAAAUCGGUUCAGAUCCGACCUCAGCGGGGUGCGUGCACCAGAUGUUUGCAGAGGGUGUGGAUCCGCUGCCAGGCUCCGCGCCCCCGCCCCGGGGAACCGGGGAACCGAGCUCGUCUUGGCUGGGCUUCUAGCAAAAUCCUGGUCUUUGGAAUUUUUUCCAAACAGGGAGCUACUCCGUGCUGCCCGGGGGGUCCCGGCGGUGCGGAAGCCCACCUUCUUGGCGUGUCCCCCGGAAGUGGCUGCCUAUUGUCUGGUCUUAGAGUCGGGGUUUCAGCUUUUGUGGGAGGCCACAGUCUUCUAGGAAGGGGGCUUCUCCCUGUGGAGAGGGGGCUCCAUGUAUCUUCCAGAAGCGUCUCAGCAUCGCGCCUUCCCACUAAGCAUCGUAGGAUGGGCCUGCCAGGACCCAGGGCCACCGGGCCGCUCAAGGAGCCACAUCUCUCAGUUUUCCGCGCCACGCCUCUGCAGAUUUCUGCCCCAGGAGUGUGUGAUCACCAAUUACUUUCUGAUCCAAAUGUGUUUCUCAAGCAGAAAAGGCUUCACAGAGCGAAGAGAAGCACGGCGUGAAGCGUUGCUGCUUGAAAGCUGUGACGACGUGAACACGCGGUGGUUUAGCAGCUCUGGAUCCUCUCUGGGCCGAUGGGUAUGAGCUGGGCCCGUUCUCCACGUGCUGGGGGAUGGCGACAUGAAGCGUAUCUUCCUCCCUCAUCUGGACAGAAUGGUACAGACGGACUCUCUGGUCCUGUUUGACUUGCAUCCCCAAUCACUGCGGCCAGGAAAAAAAAAUGGUUUUUCAUGGAUUGGCCAAUUUUAGUUCCAGGGCCCAUCUCUGCAGUCAAGAGGCGGGGUGUGAUGUGGCAUGGACAGCCUAUAAAAUCGGAUUGUGAUGAUCAUGGAACAACUAUAAAUGUAGUGAAUUCAUUGAGUAAUUAAAAAAAAAAAGAGGUGGAGUCUGGAAAUUGACAGCCCCAACAGAACCCUGCAAAAGGAGGGAAGAAAGAGUCUUCAAAGGAAAUUUGAUUACUAUCACCAAGAGGAGGAGGGAAAGGGU
rnacentral:lncRNA from 1 species